rnacentral:misc_RNA from 1 species
GGAAUAUUGCACAAUGGGGGAAACCCUGAUGCAGCGACGCCGCGUGAGCGAAGAAGUAUUUCGGUAUGUAAAGCUCUAUCAGCAGGGAAGAAAAAAUGACGGUACCUGACUAAGAAGCACCGGCUAAAUACGUGCCAGCAGCCGCGGUAAUACGUAUGGUGCAAGCGUUAUCCGGAUUUACUGGGUGUAAAGGGAGCGCAGGCGGUGCGGCAAGUCUGAUGUGAAAGCCCGGGGCUCAACCCCGGUACUGCAUUGGAAACUGUCGUACUAGAGUGUCGGAGGGGUAAGUGGAAUUCCUAGUGUAGCGGUGAAAUGCGUAGAUAUUAGGAGGAACACCAGUGGCGAAGACGGCUUACUGGACGAUUACUGACGCUGAGGCUCGAAAGCGUGGGGAGCAAACAGGA